AUAAACAAAUAGUCAUCACAUGGGCAGCUUGCUGGCUUGACCAUGCGGCGCACCUUCAAAUCUUCAAAGUCCGAACAAUUAAGCUAGCAGCCCUCACCCAUAUACGACAUCCUAUUAUUAGUUGUAACAAGUAAAUGCACAGACCCACUUAUUUGUAUCUCAUCCCAUCCUUCCCUACAAGGCAUCUAAUCAAACCACUUCAUCACAAAUCAUUUCUCCACUUAUACAGCACAUGGAGUCUUUUCCCACUGCCCUCCCACCUCUCUGCCCAUCCGCAGCUUCUGAUAGGAUAAAACAUUGUGAACACAAGAACCCCAUGUGGGUUUUUUAAUUUUGUUAAGGUGAGAAGCACUUCAGGAGCCAUGGAGAAUGUUGAUGAUCACCUGGAGGAAGCUCUGGACCUUUUAGAAGAGUGUUGGUUCUAUGAGAAUUUGCUUCGCAGACGUACAUGGAUGCCAAGGUGUCACUCUGAUCCUUAUCCUUCCUCAAGCACUAGACAAGAGAGUUUGGUGAAGAAUUCAUGCGGCCAAAGCUCUUCAUCUAUUGGAAAACUCCCUAAAGACGAUGGUUUUGCUCGUCCUAGUCUGACUCGGACACCCUCUUUGCCUCCGUGUAUAGGGAGGGAAGAAGCAAUUCAAGAAAGAGAGAGCAAUUCCAAAGUAAGCAAAUCGAUUCUGCAACCGUCCACGCGUCCUAAUUUUCUUCGGACACCAUCUCUGCCUCCUUCAAUUGGGAGGGAUAAAGUAAUUCAAGAUAAAGAGAUCGGUCCACGAAUGAACAAAACCGCUUGGCAACCGCCAUGCCCGUCAAAGAGCAUACGACAAAGUUCUAGUAUUCCAAGGCAUCAACGGCCCCGUAAAUUAGAGGUUGACGACACAAAUAUAGAAGGUUUGAAGGAGACGAGGCAUCAACACCUUAAUCAAAGGAAGACAAGAAAGAGCCUAAGCGAUCUAGAGUUUGAAGAAGUGCAGGGUUUCAGAGAUUUGGGAUUUAGAUUAGACAAGGAAGGCUUAAGUCCAAGUGUGAUUGACAUCCUUCCUGGUUUGCAAGAAAGGAAAAGAGAUGAGUUGGAGGAAGACAAGGUAAGGAGGCCCUAUCUUUCUGAGGCAUGGCUUGUGCGAAGCCAUGCUCAUCCAGUUCCAAACUGGGUUGUCAGCAAAUCACCAGAAGACAUGAAAACACAAAUCAAGUUUUGGGCUAGAGCUGUAGCAUCUAAUAUGCGCCAAGAAUGUUGAGAGUUGCACAUAUGCUAAUCCAUUACUUACGUUGACACUAAGAUAAGUUUAGAACCCAAACAUCAAUUCUCAAAAACCCUUUAGCAAUCCCUCAAAGCUACAACAAUGAGAAGGAAAAAGAACUAUAGAGAGUCACAAAGCAAUGCCAUGCCUGCAAGUUUCAGACAUUUACCAUGAAGGUGGCAAUAGUUUUACUUUUGUAGUUGGUAAUUGUAAAUCAUACCCAAAAUAAAGACGGUAAAUUUAAAA